rnacentral:rRNA from 1 species
GUCCACGCCCUAAACGAUGUCGACUGGGUGUUGGGGAAGCGAUUUCCCAGUACCGUAGCUAACGCGUGAAGUCGACCGCCUGGGGAGUACGGCCGCAAGGUUAAAACUCAAAGGAAUUGACGGGGACCCGCACAAGCGGUGGAUGAUGUGGAUUAAUUCGAUGCAACGCGAACAACCUUACCUACCCUUGACAUGUCCGAGAGCCUGCUGAGAGGCGGGUGUGCCCGAAAGGGAAUCGGAACACAGGUGCUGCAUGGCUGUCGU